UGGCGAUGAUGGUGAUGGUGAUGGUGAUGGUCAUGAUGAUGAUCACCAUCAUGAUUAUUGUCAUUAUGACCAUGGCAGCACCGGCCUGUAGA
rnacentral:misc_RNA from 1 species